rnacentral:rRNA from 1 species
AAGCCCCCCUCAAGAUGAGAUUUCCCAUAGCGCAAGCUAGUAAGAUCCCUGAAAGAUGAUCAGGUUGAUAGGUCAGAGGUGGAAGCACGGCGACGUGUGUAGCUGACUGAUACUAAUCGAUCGAGGACUUAACCAAAA